ensembl:lncRNA
UUUUUUUCACUGAGGGAAUGGAAAGAUAAAAAUGUCUUGGUGGCUAAAGAUGGAGACCAGAAACUAAAAACUAUAUAUUUUAAACAAGAAAUUCAGAUGAAUAUAUGAGUCAUUAAGAAACAGUUGAAAUCUCUCCAACCAUAGGUUUGCUAUGUGAUGGCUACCAGACUUAUUAUGUAGUAAGUACUUGUUUUAAAUAUUAAGUAGAAUCUCAUACCAAGCUAAGAGAGGUAAGAGUGUAUAAUGAUAAAUAAAUCUCUUAGAUCAGCGUAGUCCCCGUAACGCAUUCUUUACAACUAAAAUAUCUGGCAUACACAUACAUAACACGCAGGCUGUACUGAAACCUCAGUUUUCAACAAAAUUGGCAUCUGUCAAACACAUCCAUCCUUAGAGUAAAAAUGAAAUCCUGGUAUAACAAUGCUCAAUGAUUUUCUAAAUUUAGCUGUUCCAAAUUAUAAAACAUUAUGAAUGAUUGAAACUCCCAGUGAGCAAAGCAGUUACUAGACUGAUGAUAAACAAAUUAUAAUAAGUUGAAAAUUUACAAUCUCAAGGUAAUAUUCUCUUAAUAAAGAAUGUACAUAAAGAUUGCAAUUGAAUCUUUCUAACGAUUUUCCAAGAGAUGUAUAAAGUUCAUCAGUAACACCCAAGUUUCAGGAUCUAAUAGUUGUAUGAAAAAAAGUACUGCAAGAAGGAGAAAGAGCUAGGAAAGAAAGAAGAGAGGGAAAGGAAGACCAAGAUGGAGCCCAGGAGGGAGAGGAGUGGGAGGGAGAAGGGGGUAGGCAGACGAGGAGAAGGAAGAGGAGAGGAGGGGGGAGAGAAAAACGCAGAACAGAGGACAUAGAACACAGUGGAAGAGAACACUGCUAUUAUAAUGUUGUACUGUUAAAGUAGCAUAGUGUUUAUCACUUCUUGGGUAAAUACUUCACAGAAGCCCUAAAACAAAAAAAGUUAAAAAAAAAAAAAAGAAAAAGCUUCAAUUUCCAAGGAUUAUCCCCCAUUGAACUAGUUGUCUUUUAUGGAUGUGACAUAUAUUCAGGGUUUUUAAAAAUUAUUUCCACUGAGAAGAUUAGUCAUUGAUUUCAAUAGGAUGUAAGAACAUUUACUAUGGGUGAUAGAAAGAUCAGACUGCCCCACACAAAACAAAACAAUAUAUGUAAUUAUUCAUAAAGAUUACAUUACAUAUAAAAUUAUUAAGCAUGUAACUGUAAUUUUCCAUUACAUAAUAUUUAUCAUAAUAAUCAUAAAUACUAUAGGCCAUCAAUCUUGUUUUAAUUUUUAAGAAACCAGUGAAAUGCUAAGGGUGGUAGCUAUGUAUAAUUUGUUAGAAUUUUUUAAAUCUCAGAUUAAGGUGUGAAAUAAUUUCUCUAUGACUUUUUUACAAAGCAUAUGUUUUUGACACAAUAUGGAUUUUUUUCAGGAGAAUAUGUAACCAAAAUGCAAAACUGGACAGAAUCUCCAGUGAAAAUAUAUUUGAGUGACAUAUGGCAACUUAAUAUAUUUCCAUUACUUUGGAGAAACUAAUUUUACAGUUGUAUGCUUGUUUUCCUUCAUUCUUCAAGAGCUCUAAUUUGUAUUCCAGAUAAAUCAGUUCAAUUACAUUUAAGCAAUUAUUGAUGUUCAGACAUUUCACUACUACGUGCAGGUAACGUAAAGAUGAAGUAGGUACAAAAUGCCUCUGCUCUCCUGACACUGUCUCCCGUUGUCCGAACCCAAUAAAAAGAGAGAACUAGAAAGGGAUCUAUAACUGUAGCCUGUGGAGCACAGCCUCCUGAGCACAGAGCAGGUGAGGAAGAGUGGAACCUUUCCAGCACAAUGCCCGAAGUCCAGCUUCCUCCCUUCCUACAAUACUCACUGUGAAAGGCUCCUAGAACCUUGAGCUUUGAAGAUAAGUAAACAUUUAUCGGGUAAACAAGGCAGGUCUGUAUACUGAGGAAAAGGGGGAAUAGACAGAGAGCCAGAAAUUUCCAGAUGAGAGACCAACUCCAGUUCAAGGUUCUUAGGGUUAGCAACUAUAGGUUAACAUAUGUAACUCUUUGCUAUUUUCCAAUGAGAACACUCAGAGAAGAUGCCAAGCCUUUUCUCUAGAAUUAGACAGGUCCCUUUCCUAGUCACCAGAUUUGACAGGCUGUUUGAAAACUAGUAUUCUACCAUGAGGAAAAAGAGGCACUUGUCCUAUCCCUUACAUUAUGUAAUUAACAGUUUUGCCCUGCUCUAACAAGUUACCAAAAAUUUGGUGGCUUAAAAACAACAAGAAUUUAUUAUUUAAUAGUUCUCAAGAUCAGAAGUCGGAAAUGGGUCUCACUUGGUUAAAAUCAAGAUGUUAGCAGGGCUGGGUUCCUUCUGGAAGGUCUGAAGGAAAUCUAUUUCCUUGAUUUUCCCAGAUUCCAGAGGCACCUCUUCUACCUUCAGUACCAGCAACGGCUGGUUGAGUCUUUUUCAUGUCACACCACAUUGUCAUCGACUAUGCCACCUCACUCUUUUAUUUUUAAGAAUCCUUGUGAUCACAUUUGACCCAUUCAGAUAAUACAGAAUCAUCUUCUGAUCUCAAGGUCAGCUGAUUAACAACCCUAAUUUCAUCUGCAACCUUAAUUCUUCCUUGCCAUGUGACUUAGCAUUUUACAGGUUCUAGAGACUAGAAUGUGGACAUCUUGGAGGAGGGAGCAUUAUUCUGCCUACCACACCCAGUAAGGUUUUAAAGACCCAAAUAACUCUGAGUGGUAUGGAAAGACAAGGCCUAAAAUGGGCUUGGGCUCAGGACCGUACCAAUUGUCAUUUAGCCACAACUGGAGAUGGGGUAUAGGAUGUACAGAAUCAUUUUAGUAAAUUUCUCUUUUCCAGGCAAAUAUAUAAAGACAGAAAGCAGACUGGUGGCUGUCUAACACUGAGGGUGGGAGUGGGGGUUAAUUUUAAAUGGGCAUGAGAGAAUUCUAAGGGAGUGGUGGAAAUGUGCUAAAAUAAGAUUGUGGUGAUGGUUGCAUAACUCUAUAAAUUUAAUAAAUAUUGUUGAAUUGAGGUAUAAACAAUACCUCAAUGAGAAUAUUAAAAAUUUCACUUUGCCUUAUGCACAUAAAUUUUAUUAAAAUUAUAAGACUCCCACUUGUGCAAGUAUUUGAGUAUUUGAAUGACGUGAGACUGAGGCACUCUCUUUUUGAGAUCUUUUAAAUGUGUCCACUGCUUCCAUUUUUGCUGAAAAUACUCUAUCUUCCCUCAGACUUAAAUGUUAAUGAGACAAGUAGUUAGACAUUGAUACUUAAAUAAUUUAUGCAUGUUUUCAGUGAUUUAAGGAAAUUCUGACAGGUCUCCUUGAUGGCAGAAUACAAGUCUUGAGAAAACCAUAUGAAAUUGCAGCUCUUUGGGAAACACCCCGGGGGUAUCACCUGCUAUCACCCUUCAAGAGUACUUACUGAGUGUUCCAUUUUGCAAGGACUCGUAUGAGGCACCAUAUAUGUAGACUUUUGCUGAUACUGGCCUUUUCCCUUCACACUAGCUCAUUGGAUCUUGCCAAUGUCACAUGGCUAACAGAGUGGAGUGGAAAUCAUUGAUGACUAAAUUCUCUAAACACGAAUAGAAAGGGCACCAAACAUAAGUCCAUUCUCUUUUCUGCCUUUCCUGUCCAUCCCAUUUUACAUUCACAAAUCAGCUCUACAAAAGACAUUGCUAGAUAUUGUUAGCAGCGUUUUGAGAAGCCAUGACCCGAAGUAGAGGCGUAGACCCACCCACACACCCUCCCACACACAGAAUUCCAAUUCUGGCGCUGAGGGGCAAUAGAGAAGAUCAGGUGGAAAGCCUUCACAAAUACUGUUCUAUAUGCCUGAAACAGGCGCUCCAUCUUCUGGCUCAUUCAUGUAUUUCUAAUUUCUGCUAAGAAGUCACUUAUUUAGAAAGUUCUUCAUGUAUUAUUCUGUCAUUCAUUACAUUUGUCACAUGUAAUUAUGUAUUAUUUGCCUGAUUAGAUUUAUUGUCUAUAUUCCCCACCUUGUUCAUUAUCAUA